rnacentral:rRNA from 1 species
AGAGUUUGAUCAUGGCUCAGAACGAACGCUGGCGGCAGGCCUAACACAUGCAAGUCGAACGCUCGUAGCAAUACGAGAGUGGCAGACGGGUGAGUAACACGUGGGAACCUUCCCUAUGGUUCGGAAUAGCUCAGGGAAACUUGAGGUAAUACCGGAUAAGCCCUUACGGGGAAAGAUUUAUCGCCAUUGGAUGGGCCCGCGUCGGAUUAGCUAGUUGGUGAGGUAACGGCUCACCAAGGCGACGAUCCGUAGCUGGUCUGAGAGGAUGAUCAGCCACACUGGGACUGAGACACGGCCCAGACUCCUACGGGAGGCAGCAGUGGGGAAUAUUGGACAAUGGGCGCAAGCCUGAUCCAGCCAUGCCGCGUGAGUGAUGAAGGCCUUCGGGUCGUAAAGCUCUGUGGGGAGGGACGAACCGCUGCACGUUAAUAUCGUGCAGCAUGACGGUACCUCCUUAGCAAGCACCGGCUAACUCUGUGCCAGCAGCCGCGGUAAUAC